rnacentral:tRNA from 1 species
UCCCCUGUAGCUCAGUUGGUAAAGAAUCUGCCUUCAAUGCAGGAGACCUAGGUUCAAUUCUUGGAUUGGGAA